UACGGAGGGUGCGAGCGUUGUCCGGAAUCAUUGGGCGUAAAGGGCGCGUAGGUGGCGGGACAAGCGCGCGGUGAAAGCCUGGGGCUCAACCCCGGGUCGGCCGUGCGAACUGUUUUGCUUGAGCACUGUAGAGGCAGGCGGAAUUCCGGGUGUAGCGGUGGAAUGCGUAGAGAUCCGGAAGAACACCGGUGGCGAAGGCGGCCUGCUGGGCAGUAGCUGACACUGAGGCGCGACAGCGUGGGGAGCAAACAGG
rnacentral:rRNA from 1 species